AAUAUGUCCAAAAUGACUAGAAACACUUUAAAAGACCAGAAAUAUGUUCAAAAUGACUAGAAACGUCCAAAAUGACUCGAAAAAAAUGACUAGAAACAUGUCCACAAUGACCAGAUAUACUGUAUGUCCAAUAUGGCAAGAAAAUCUUCAAAAUUACUAGAAACAUGUCCAGAAUGGAAAAAUAUGUCCAAAAUGACAAACAUUUGUCCAAAAUUACUAGAAACUUGUCCAAAAUGACAGGAGCAUGUUCAAAAUGAGUGCAAAAUGUCCAAAAUGACUAGAAACUAGGGCUGGCCCAAAUAGUGGUUUCUGGUCUCCGAAUAUUUGGGGCCUAUUAAAGACGAAUAUCCGAAUAUUCGUUCCACCCCGUAACAUCCGACGGGGGGCUGGCCCAGCCAGGCCCGACCCGACCCGACUCGACUAUUCAUGUCACAACCCUCCUGUUUCGGUGCACUGACUAAUCAACUAAAUGACGUGCUGCUGGGCUGAGUGCACAGCCGGCGCUAAUAAACAAUCAGUGCAGUUUAAAACCUGGCUCGUUCCACAGCUCCAGCGCUGCAUCAUUGACUCACCCUCCCUGCUCCACACACACCCUGCUUAAUGCUUCACGCCGUUCACCGUCUUCACACGUCUCUCCCUGGACUCUGUUUCUCCGCUACGUCCCCGCUCCUCAGACCCCGUCGCCCCCCGGAUGAUUUCUCCUGUUUUCCAGCCAUCGCCACGCUCCCCCACCGGCUCUGUCAGCUCUGCCUCUUCCGUCUUCCCUACUCUGGUCUGGACAAUCAUCGACUGCAACAAGCUGGAAGUUGGCUGAAGCUGACAAAUGCAGAACCUGUGUUAAUCCACAACAGUUCACACCUGGAGGCAGUAAACAAGAGAAGACAACAAACAAUGGUUGGCUUCAUGUCGUCGUCCUCAACAAUGAGCCCAAAGAACGUCACCGACCAACAAGCACAGCAGCCACCGUCACAUGUUCUAACGUCCAUCAGAACAUCAGCUGUUCCUCUCAUCAGUCUGGAAUCAUUUCAACCACAGUCCAGAAAGGUUAUUACACCCUACUGCUGCUCUACAGUCUAAAAAAACAUAAAGAACUCAGUCUGGAAUCAUUUAAACCACAGUCCAGAAAGGUUAUUACACCCUACUGCUGCUCUACAGUCUAAAAAACAUAAAGAACUCAGUCUGGAAUCAUUUAAACCACAGUCCAGAAAGGUUAUUACACCUUACUGCUGCUCUACAGUCUAAAAAACAUAAAGAACUCAGUCUGGAAUCAUUUAAACCACAGUCCAGAGAGGUUAUUACACCCUACUGCUGCUCUACAGUCUAAAAAAAACAUAAAGAACUCAGUCUGGAAUCAUUUCAACCACAGUCCAGAAAGGUUAUUACACCCUACUGCUGCUCUACAGUCUAAAAAAAACAUAAAGAACUCAGUCUGGAAUCAUUUAAACCACAGUCCAGAAAGGUUAUUACACCCUACUGCUGCUCUACAGUCUAAAAAAACAUAAAGAACUCAGUCUGGAAUCAUUUAAACCACAGUCCAGAAAGGUUAUUACACCUUACUGCUGCUCUACAGUCUAAAAAAAACCAUAAAGAAUUCAGUCUGGAAUCAUUUAAACCACAGUCCAGAAAGGUUAUUACACCUUA